AGUCCGCCCCCAGUAGGAACCCCACCCGCCUCCGCCUCCUUUAGUCCGCCCUUGGCGGGGAGGAGCCCCCACCCAACAGCCCUGCUCGCGUCCCGCCCCCGCACCGGGCAAGGGGCCUGGCGAGGAGGAGGAGGAGCCCGAGACCGUCGGCCCCUCCUCCGCCGCGAAGGCCCGCCUCUGAGGAAAACCCGAGCCUCAGAAAGCUUGUUCUGUAGGCUUGCGGGCUGGCAGCCUUGGACCUCGGUUAGAGGCUGGGGGAGCGGAGUGGGAAGCCUCCCGAGAGCUGGGCCCCUGGGGGAACCCUUAGCCAUUGUCGCGGCCCCAUCUCAGGCUGUGGGGCAUGGGGCAGCCAAGGCUACUGGGAAGGGUUUCGUCGUGACCUCUCAAGGGAUGUCAAAGUGAAAUUUGAUCACGCGGGUCCGCAAAAGUUCUACAGGGGGUGCAGAAUUUCCAAAAGGAAGAGGUUUGCGAGCAGCAAUCUGGUGGGACGCUGGGCCAGGGGACCAGCCACGAAACUCUGCACAGCGCCCCGUGUUUUUAUCCAGAUGGUUUGUGGGAAAGAGGCUACAGUCCUUCCAGCCACUCCUUGGCUACCGGCAAGAUCAGGUCUGCAUGAGCGUCAAGAGACCAGGGUAGUAACCAAUAGGAGAGACUCAGCUUACAUCAAUAUCCACGCAGAAUGGAAUGGAAUGGAAUGUGAUGUGCCAGCGUUAAGGAUUGGCUAAAGCCCAUCUAUACUAGAUAAUACCUAUUUUAAAUAUAUUCUAGUGGUCACCUGUGUUUGUUGCUAAGGAGGGUAUAUCCAGUUCCUGAUACUCCAUCUUUGGCAAAAGGGGGAAGUCUGGAAACCUCUUUUAAUGAGUAGUUGAAGUAUCUUGAACCUAAUGAAGAAAGAAUGAACACAUGUUCAAGACCAGUCCUUAAAGAGUUGCAAAGCAUUUCCUGAAGCAUUGCAUAAAAUUAGUUUUCAGAA